rnacentral:rRNA from 2 species
UGGCAUAUACAAUGAGACGCAAUACCGCGAGGUGGAGCAAAUCUAUAAAAUAUGUCCCAGUUCGGAUUGUUCUCUGCAACUCGAGAGCAUGAAGCCGGAAUCGCUAGUAAUCGUAGAUCAGCCAUGCUACGGUGAAUACGUUCCCGGGUCUUGUACUCACCGCCCGUCACACCAUGGGAGUUGAUUUCACUCGAAGCCGGAAUACUAAACUAGUUACCGUCCACAGUGGAAUCAGCGACUGGGGUGAAGUCGUAACAAGGUAACCGUAGGAGAACCUGCGGUUGGAUCACCUCCUUUCUAG